rnacentral:lncRNA from 1 species
AAAACUAUAAAUAAAGGGGUCUUGAUUGUAUAUAACUUAUCAAGAUCUUCUCCCCCUAUCUUUUUUCUUUUCUGUUUUAUAUUUCAUUAUAAUAAAUAAUUUUUUUCUUAAAUUAAUUAUUACCCUAAAUAGUAUAACUUUUAUUUUAUUACAGAUUACAGCCUAUUUUUAUCAUUUAUAAUUGAUUGUCUUCUUCACUAUCUUAUCUUCCUCCUCGCUGUCGACCGGGGAAGCUUCGACCGUUGGCGAAGCUUGGAUAGGAUAACUGACGAUGUUUCGAGCUCCAACAAAACUCCAUUCUGGCCAAGGAGCCUCCGACGGUGAUCUGGUCAAAUACAAUCUGAUCGAAUUAUUUAGAUCUGGUUGAAAUUAUUUGUUUUGGUUGGAGUUAUUGGGUGAUGGAAGAUAAAAUAAGUGGAUAGUGAAGUUGUUUGUUGGUAGAUGCUUCGCCGGAAAAAUAAAAAAGGAAAGGUGACAGGACUUUUGUUUUGGUGGUGGUGGAGGCAUGGCCGGAGUUUGAUAGCGGCGGUUCGUCUGCAGUGAUGAAGGAUAGAGGAGAUGGUUGGUCGGAGUUGUUGUUUGGGUGUGUUAUAUUUUCGAUUGUUUGUCGGAUUUUGGUGGCUUAAGGUUGAAGAAGAUAGUGGCGUCAUGGCUAGAGUUUGCCGGAGUUGGUAGUGUCGUUGAUUGUUUGCCGGAUAGAUGGGGGCAUGGUGGUGGUGAUUCACCGGAGAAGAAUGUUGAAGUUUUUAAAAGUUGUAUUAAAACUGUAUUAAAUACAAACAAUCAUUAUAAUAAUUUCGAAUUCAAUAUUAUAAGUACAUUUUCUGAAUUUGAUAGUUGUUAUUUCAUAAUAAAUACAAUAAAUUUUUGACAAUGUAAACUAAUUUAAAAUCGGUAUGUUUGAAAUUCACAUAUAAUACCUAUAAUAAAUUUGUACUAAAAUGCUUUAGUUAUAUAUAUUCACUAUAUAUAUUGAAAAUAUAUCUAUAAUAUGAAUAAUAUGUUGAAUUCAAGAUGUAUUAAAAUUGUAACUUUCUUUUUUCUUUUAUUAUGAUGUUAAAAACGUGUUAUAUUUAUAUUUCAACCAUUUAAAUAAUAUUUAAAUUAGUUUAUGUGUUAUUAUAGUAAAAACUGUAUCAGAAAUGUAUUAUGUAUGCAUUUCACUAUAUUUGGUAGAAAAAAAAGAUAGUCCAUAAUUUAUAAAGUAAAAGAAGCAUAAUAAUUCAUUAAUAAAAUUAUAUACUCGUAUUUAUGUAAAUCGCCCAAUAUACUUUACUUAUCAAGUUGAUUGGAUUGGACAGUGAAUUAAUUCCUUCAUUGCAGGAUAUUGAAGGUUGUAGUCUUACUCCUUGUUUGGAUGGUGGUGUCCCAUGGUAUGGUAUAAUAUGG